AGUGAACGCUGGCGGUAGGCCUAACACAUGCAAGUCGAACGGCAGCACAGUAAGAGCUUGCUCUUACGGGUGGCGAGUGGCGGACGGGUGAGGAAUACAUCGGAAUCUACUUUUUCGUGGGUGAUAACGUAGGGAAACUUACGCUAAUACCGCAUACGACCUACGGGUGAAAGCAGGGGAUCUUCGGACCUUGCGCGAUUGAAUUAGCCGAUGUCGGAUUAGCUAGUUGGCGUGGUAAAGGCCCACCAAGGCGACGAUCCGUAGCUGGUCUGAGAGGAUGAUCAGCCACACUGGAACUGAGACACGGUCCAGACUCCUACGGGAGGCAGCAGUGGGGAAUAUUGGGCAAUGGGCGCAAGCCUGAUCCAGCCAUACCGCGUGGGUGAAGAAGGCCUUCGGGUUGUAAAGCCCUUUUGUUGGGAAAGAAAAGCAGCAGGUUAAUACCCCGCUGUUCUGACGGUACCCAAAGAAUAAGCACCGGCUAACUUCGUG
rnacentral:rRNA from 1 species